rnacentral:rRNA from 1 species
CGGACGGGUGGAGUAACGACGUGGAUAACCUGCCGUAUGCAGGGGAGUACCAACUGGAAACAGUUGCUAAUACCGCAUAAGCGCACAGUACCGCAUGGUAUAGUGUGAAAAGAUUUAUCGGCAUACGAUGGAUCCGCGUCCGAUUAGCCAGUUGGCGGGGUAGAAGCCCACCAAAGCGACGAUCGGUAGCCGGCCUGAGAGGGCGGACGGCCACAUUGGGACUGAGACACGGCCCAAACUCCUACGGGAGGCAGCAG